rnacentral:rRNA from 1 species
UACGUAGGUGGCAAGCGUUGUCCGGAUUUACUGGGCGUAAAGCGUGCGCAGGCGGUUUUGUAAGUCUGACGUGAAAGCCCCGGGCUUAACCUGGGAAUUGCGUUGGAGACUGCAAGGCUUGAAUCUGGCAGAGGGGGGUAGAAUUCCACGUGUAGCAGUGAAAUGCGUAGAGAUGUGGAGGAACACCGAUGGCGAAGGCAGCCCCCUGGGUCAAGAUUGACGCUCAUGCACGAAAGCGUGGGGAGCAAACAGG